rnacentral:rRNA from 1 species
AAAGAAGGUAAUAAUCCUGUAGUCGAAAAUGUUGUCUCUCUUGAGUGGAUCCUGAGUACGACGGAGCACGUGAAAUUCCGUCGGAAUCUGGGAGGACCAUCUCCUAAGGCUAAAUACUCUCUAGUGACCGAUAGUGAACCAGUACCGUGAGGGAAAGGUGAAAAGCACCCCGGAAGGGGAGUGAAAUAGAACCUGAAACCGUGUGCUUACAAGUAGUCAGAGCCCGUUAAUGGGUGAUGGCGUGCCUUUUGUAGAAUGAACCGGCGAGUUACGAUUUGAUGCAAGGUUAAGCAGUAAAUGUGGAGCCGUAGCGAAAGCGAGUCUGAAUAGGGCGUUUAGUAUUUGGUCGUAGACCCGAAACCAGGUGAUCUACCCUUGGUCAGGUUGAAGUUCAGGUAACACUGAAUGGAGGACCGAACCGACUUACGUUGAAAAGUGAGCGGAUGAACUGAGGGUAGCGGAGAAAUUCCAAUCGAACCUGGAGAUAGCUGGUUCUCUCCGAAAUAGCUUUAGGGCUAGCCUCAAGUGAUGAUUAUUGGAGGUAGAGCACUGUUUGGACGAGGGGCCCCUCUCGGGUUACCGAAUUCAGACAAACUCCGAAUGCCAAUUAAUUUAACUUGGGAGUCAGAACAUGGGUGAUAAGGUCCGUGUUCGAAAGGGAAACAGCCCAGACCACCAGCUAAGGUCCCAAAAUAUAUGUUAAGUGGAAAAGGAUGUGGCGUUGCCCAGACAACUAGGAUGUUGGCUUAGAAGCAGCCAUCAUUUAAAGAGUGCGUAAUAGCUCACUAGUCGAGUGACACUGCGCCGAAAAUGUACCGGGGCUAAACAUAUUACCGAAGCUGUGGAUUGUCCUUUGGACAAUGGUAGGAGAGCGUUCUAAGGGCGUUGAAGCAUGAUCGUAAGGACAUGUGGAGCGCUUAGAAGUGAGAAUGCCGGUGUGAGUAGCGAAAGACGGGUGAGAAUCCCGUCCACCGAUUGACUAAGGUUUCCAGAGGAAGGCUCGUCCGCUCUGGGUUAGUCGGGUCCUAAGCUGAGGCCGACAGGCGUAGGCGAUGGAUAACAGGUUGAUAUUCCUGUACCACCUAUAAUCGUUUUAAUCGAUGGGGGGACGCAGUAGGAUAGGCGAAGCGUGCGAUUGGAUUGCACGUCUAAGCAGUAAGGCUGAGUAUUAGGCAAAUCCGGUACUCAUUAAGGCUGAGCUGUGAUGGGGAGAAGACAUUGUGUCUUCGAGUCGUUGAUUUCACACUGCCGAGAAAAGCCUCUAGAUAGAAAAUAGGUGCCCGUACCGCAAACCGACACAGGUAGUCAAGAUGAGAAUUCUAAGGUGAGCGAGCGAACUCUCGUUAAGGAACUCGGCAAAAUGACCCCGUAACUUCGGGAGAAGGGGUGCUCUUUAGGGUUAACGCCCAGAAGAGCCGCAGUGAAUAGGCCCAAGCGACUGUUUAUCAAAAACACAGGUCUCUGCUAAACCGUAAGGUGAUGUAUAGGGGCUGACGCCUGCCCGGUGCUGGAAGGUUAAGAGGAGUGGUUAGCUUCUGCGAAGCUACGAAUCGAAGCCCCAGUAAACGGCGGCCGUAACUAUAACGGUCCUAAGGUAGCGAAAUUCCUUGUCGGGUAAGUUCCGACCCGCACGAAAGGCGUAACGAUUUGGGCACUGUCUCAACGAGAGACUCGGUGAAAUCAUAGUACCUGU